rnacentral:SRP_RNA from 1 species
CCGUGCAGCCGGGGCAUUAGCGGGGCCCUGUAACCUGCAGUCCGCUACAGCAGGGGUGAUGCCGAUCCGAGGGUCUGUAUUUAUGGAGCUGCCCUUCUUAAGUGGCGUUGACGUUUGGGUCUUAUGCAACGGGAACCUGCGAACCGUGUCAGGGUGGGAACACAGCAGCACUAAGCAGGACCUCUCGUGUGACGUAAGGGUGCCUGGGCCGAGUUAACUGGGGAGGUUCCGUCUGUGGGUACCGGUUCAGAGUGAGGCGCACGG